rnacentral:rRNA from 1 species
GUAGGUGGCAAGCGUUGUCCGGAAUUAUUGGGCGUAAAGCGCGCGCAGGCGGUUCUUUAAGUCUGAUGUGAAAGCCCACGGGCUCAACCGUGGAGGGUCAUUGGAAACUGGAGAACUUGAGUACAGAAGAGGAAAGCGGAAUUCCACGUGUAGCGGUGAAAUGCGUAGAGAUGUGGAGGAACACCAGUGGCGAAGGCGGCUUCCUGGUCUGUAACUGACGCUGAGGCGCGAAAGCGUGGGGAGCAAACAGGAUUAGAUACCCUGGUAGUCCACGCCGUAAACGAUGAGUGCUAAGUGUUAGGGGGUUUCCGCCCCUUAGUGCUGCAGCUAACGCAUUAAGCACUCCGCCUGGGGAGUACGGCCGCAAGGCUG